UACGGGGGGUGCGAGCGUUGUCCGGAAUCACUGGGCGUAAAGGGCGCGUAGGUGGUCUGAUAAGGGUGUGGUGAAAGCCCGGGGCUCAACCCCGGGUCGGCCGUGCCGACUGUUAGACUAGAGUACUGUAGGGGCAGGCGGAAUUCCGGGUGUAGCGGUGGAAUGCGUAGAGAUCCGGAGGAAGACCGGUGGCGAAGGCGGGUCUCUGGGCAACAACUGACGCUGAGGAGCGAAAGCGUGGGGAGCGAACAGG
rnacentral:rRNA from 1 species